rnacentral:rRNA from 1 species
CCUACGUGUGGCAGCAGUGGGGAAUAUUGGACAAUGGGCGAAAGCCUGAUCCAGCCAUGCCGCGUGUGUGAAGAAGGCCUUCGGGUUGUAAAGCACUUUCAGUGGGGAAGAAAGCCUUGGGGCUAAUACCCUCGAGGAAGGACAUCACCCACAGAAGAAGCACCGGCUAACUCCGUGCCAGCAGCCGCGGUAAUACGGAGGGUGCGAGCGUUAAUCGGAAUUACUGGGCGUAAAGCGCGCGUAGGCGGUCUGAUAAGCCGGUUGUGAAAGCCCCGGGCUCAACCUGGGAACGGCAUCCGGAGCUGUCAGGCUAGAGUGCAGGAGAGGAAGGUAGAAUUCCCGGUGUAGCGGUGAAAUGCGUAGAGAUCGGGAGGAAUACCAGUGGCGAAGGCGGCCUUCUGGACUGACACUGACGCUGAGGUGCGAAAGCGUGGGUAGCAAACAGGAUUAGAUACCCGAGUAGUC